UAUCACAUUUGAAACGACAACUACAAAAAAAUAUGUAAAAAAAAUGACUAAAACAGACCACAAUGAAGAAUUAAAUGCACAACAACGCGACGUCAACAACAAAUGGAAGAGGCGAAAGAAGAAAUAGCCACGCCGAACGAAAAGAAGAAGAGCACCGCGCAGAAAGACACAGAGAGAGGGAUAGAAAGAGAAGUCGCAAGAGAAAUGCGAAAAAACCGCGAAUACAAUUUACAAAUAGCGAAUUACAGAAAAUAAGUCUAAAAAUAUAAAUAAAAUCGCUUGCUAGCUCCACCAAGCGACGCUUUUUAACUGACGCUACGUCAACGACCAAAGCCCCACGAAGGCAGCGACGUCGACAGAGCGGCGACGACGCCCCCAUCAACGUAUGCUGUUCUUUUGUGCUUUAUUU
rnacentral:lncRNA from 1 species